UACAGAGGUCUCAAGCGUUUGUUCGGAUUCAUUGGGCGUAAAGGGUGCGUAGGCGGCGCGGUAAGUCGGGUGUGAAAUCUUGGAGCUUAACUCCGAAACUGCAUUCGAUACUGCCGUGCUUGAGGACUGGAGAGGAGACUGGAAUUUACGGUGUAGCGGUGAAAUGCGUAGAUAUCGUAAGGAAGACCAGUGGCGAAGGCGGGUCUCUGGACAGUUCCUGACGCUGGAGGCACGAAGGCCAGGGGAGCAAAACGGG
rnacentral:rRNA from 1 species